rnacentral:tRNA from 1 species
GAGGAUAUAGCUCAGUGGUAGAGUACAUGCUUAGCAUGCACAAAGUCCUGGGUUCAAUCCCCAGUACCUCCA